AAAGACGGGGACAGAAAUUUUAAUUAUAAUUUGUACUUAAAUUACCCCAUUCUAAUUUUAUAAUUUCAAAAUUACCCUUAAUGCAAAUCAGGGCUUCUUGAUCAACCCUCGUGACUCAUCUUCUCAUUCUUCUUCGGAACAGCCACUAUAGCCGCUCAAGCAUUCUUCUUCAAGAACAGCCACCGCGUCACCACUGGCCUCGCCACCGCUAGGAAAAUCGAAGAACGAAGUUGCCGCCUCUCCUCGAUUGCUGUCCACCUCAACUAUUAACUCCUCGUCCGAACUACUCUGACCCAGGUUAGUUUUAUACAAAUGUUGUUUAAUUUACUGAUUCCUUUCAUCUUUUCCGUCGUGCCCUAAUCUUUGGAUUUGUUCGUGACCUAGCAUUGGGACUUUUCUCUUCUUGUGAUAAUCAAUUUGAUCUGUGGAUUUAACCAUUAUUUUUGUAAUGCUUAAAUCAAAUUUGUUUGUA